rnacentral:rRNA from 1 species
AUUGAACGCUGGCGGCAUGCUUUACACAUGCAAGUCGAACGGUAACAGGUUAAGCUGACGAGUGGCGAACGGGUGAGUAAUGCAUCGGAACGUGCCCGGUCGUGGGGGAUAACACUUCGAAAGAAGUGCUAAUACCGCAUACGAUCUGAGGAUGAAAGCGGGGGACCGUAAGGCCUCGCGCGAUCGGAGCGGCCGAUGUCAGAUUAGGUAGUUGGUGGGGUAAAGGCUCACCAAGCCGACGAUCUGUAGCUGGUCUGAGAGGACGACCAGCCACACUGGGACUGGGACACGGCCCAGACUCCGACGGGAGUCAGCAGUGGGGAAUUUUGGACAAUGGGCGCAAGCCUGAUCCAGCAAUGCCGCGUGCAGGAAGAAGGCCUUCGGGUUGUAAACUGCUUUUGUACGGAGCGAAAAGGCUCUCUCUAAUACAGGGGGCUCAUGACGGUACCGUAAGAAUAAGCACCGGCUAACUACGUGCCAGCCGCCGCAGUAA